UACGUAGGGUGCGAGCGUUGUCCGGAAUUACUGGGCGUAAAGAGCUCGUAGGUGGUUUGUCGCGUUGUUCGUGAAAACCGGGGGCUUAACCCUCGGCGUGCGGGCGAUACGGGCAGACUUGAGUACUGCAGGGGAGACUGGAAUUCCUGGUGUAGCGGUGGAAUGCGCAGAUAUCAGGAGGAACACCGGUGGCGAAGGCGGGUCUCUGGGCAGUAACUGACGCUGAGGAGCGAAAAGCGUGGGGAGCGAACAGG
rnacentral:rRNA from 1 species